rnacentral:rRNA from 11 species
GGGUUGUGAGGUUAAGCGACUAAGCGUACACGGUGGAUGCCCUGGCAGUCAGAGGCGAUGAAGGACGUGCUAAUCUGCGAUAAGCGUCGGUAAGGUGAUAUGAACCGUUAUAACCGGCGAUUUCCGAAUGGGGAAACCCAGUGUGUUUCGACACACUAUCAUUAACUGAAUCCAUAGGUUAAUGAGGCGAACCGGGGGAACUGAAACAUCUAAGUACCCCGAGGAAAAGAAAUCAACCGAGAUUCCCCCAGUAGCGGCGAGCGAACGGGGAGCAGCCCAGAGCCUGAAUCAGUGUGUGUGUUAGUGGAAGCGUCUGGAAAGGCGCGCGAUACAGGGUGACAGCCCCGUACACAAAAAUGCACAUGCUGUGAGCUCGAUGAGUAGGGCGGGACACGUGGUAUCCUGUCUGAAUAUGGGGGGACCAUCCUCCAAGGCUAAAUACUCCUGACUGACCGAUAGUGAACCAGUACCGUGAGGGAAAGGCGAAAAGAACCCCGGCGAGGGGAGUGAAAAAGAACCUGAAACCGUGUACGUACAAGCAGUGGGAGCACGCUUCGGCGUGUGACUGCGUACCUUUUGUAUAAUGGGUCAGCGACUUAUAUUCUGUAGCAAGGUUAACCGAAUAGGGGAGCCGAAGGGAAACCGAGUCUUAACUGGGCGUUAAGUUGCAGGGUAUAGACCCGAAACCCGGUGAUCUAGCCAUGGGCAGGUUGAAGGUUGGGUAACACUAACUGGAGGACCGAACCGACUAAUGUUGAAAAAUUAGCGGAUGACUUGUGGCUGGGGGUGAAAGGCCAAUCAAACCGGGAGAUAGCUGGUUCUCCCCGAAAGCUAUUUAGGUAGCGCCUCGUGAAUUCAUCUCCGGGGGUAGAGCACUGUUUCGGCAAGGGGGUCAUCCCGACUUACCAACCCGAUGCAAACUGCGAAUACCGGAGAAUGUUAUCACGGGAGACACACGGCGGGUGCUAACGUCCGUCGUGAAGAGGGAAACAACCCAGACCGCCAGCUAAGGUCCCAAAGUCAUGGUUAAGUGGGAAACGAUGUGGGAAGGCCCAGACAGCCAGGAUGUUGGCUUAGAAGCAGCCAUCAUUUAAAGAAAGCGUAAUAGCUCACUGGUCGAGUCGGCCUGCGCGGAAGAUGUAACGGGGCUAAACCAUGCACCGAAGCUGCGGCAGCGACGCUUAUGCGUUGUUGGGUAGGGGAGCGUUCUGUAAGCCUGUGAAGGUGUGCUGUGAGGCAUGCUGGAGGUAUCAGAAGUGCGAAUGCUGACAUAAGUAACGAUAAAGCGGGUGAAAAGCCCGCUCGCCGGAAGACCAAGGGUUCCUGUCCAACGUUAAUCGGGGCAGGGUGAGUCGACCCCUAAGGCGAGGCCGAAAGGCGUAGUCGAUGGGAAACAGGUUAAUAUUCCUGUACUUGGUGUUACUGCGAAGGGGGGACGGAGAAGGCUAUGUUGGCCGGGCGACGGUUGUCCCGGUUUAAGCGUGUAGGCUGGUUUUCCAGGCAAAUCCGGAAAAUCAAGGCUGAGGCGUGAUGACGAGGCACUACGGUGCUGAAGCAACAAAUGCCCUGCUUCCAGGAAAAGCCUCUAAGCAUCAGGUAACAUCAAAUCGUACCCCAAACCGACACAGGUGGUCAGGUAGAGAAUACCAAGGCGCUUGAGAGAACUCGGGUGAAGGAACUAGGCAAAAUGGUGCCGUAACUUCGGGAGAAGGCACGCUGAUAUGUAGGUGAAGCGACUUGCUCGUGGAGCUGAAAUCAGUCGAAGAUACCAGCUGGCUGCAACUGUUUAUUAAAAACACAGCACUGUGCAAACACGAAAGUGGACGUAUACGGUGUGACGCCUGCCCGGUGCCGGAAGGUUAAUUGAUGGGGUUAGCGGUAACGCGAAGCUCUUGAUCGAAGCCCCGGUAAACGGCGGCCGUAACUAUAACGGUCCUAAGGUAGCGAAAUUCCUUGUCGGGUAAGUUCCGACCUGCACGAAUGGCGUAAUGAUGGCCAGGCUGUCUCCACCCGAGACUCAGUGAAAUUGAACUCGCUGUGAAGAUGCAGUGUACCCGCGGCAAGACGGAAAGACCCCGUGAACCUUUACUAUAGCUUGACACUGAACAUUGAGCCUUGAUGUGUAGGAUAGGUGGGAGGCUUUGAAGUGUGGACGCCAGUCUGCAUGGAGCCGACCUUGAAAUACCACCCUUUAAUGUUUGAUGUUCUAACGUUGACCCGUAAUCCGGGUUGCGGACAGUGUCUGGUGGGUAGUUUGACUGGGGCGGUCUCCUCCUAAAGAGUAACGGAGGAGCACGAAGGUUGGCUAAUCCUGGUCGGACAUCAGGAGGUUAGUGCAAUGGCAUAAGCCAGCUUGACUGCGAGCGUGACGGCGCGAGCAGGUGCGAAAGCAGGUCAUAGUGAUCCGGUGGUUCUGAAUGGAAGGGCCAUCGCUCAACGGAUAAAAGGUACUCCGGGGAUAACAGGCUGAUACCGCCCAAGAGUUCAUAUCGACGGCGGUGUUUGGCACCUCGAUGUCGGCUCAUCACAUCCUGGGGCUGAAGUAGGUCCCAAGGGUAUGGCUGUUCGCCAUUUAAAGUGGUACGCGAGCUGGGUUUAGAACGUCGUGAGACAGUUCGGUCCCUAUCUGCCGUGGGCGCUGGAGAACUGAGGGGGGCUGCUCCUAGUACGAGAGGACCGGAGUGGACGCAUCACUGGUGUUCGGGUUGUCAUGCCAAUGGCACUGCCCGGUAGCUAAAUGCGGAAGAGAUAAGUGCUGAAAGCAUCUAAGCACGAAACUUGCCCCGAGAUGAGUUCUCCCUGACUCCUUGAGAGUCCUGAAGGAACGUUGAAGACGACGACGUUGAUAGGCCGGGUGUGUAAGCGCAGCGAUGC